UACGUAGGUGGCAAGCGUUGUCCGGAUUUACUGGGCGUAAAGGGCGUGCAGGCGGUCUGUUAAGUUCAGGGUGAAAGCUCCCGGCUCAACUGGGAGAGGUCCUUGGAUACUGGCAGACUUGAGGAGGGUAGAGGAGAGUGGAAUUCCCGGUGUAGUGGUGAUAUGCGUAGAUAUCGGGAGGAACACCAGUGGCGAAGGCGGCUCUCUGGGCCCUACCUGACGCUGAGACGCGAAAGCCAGGGGAGCAAACGGG
rnacentral:rRNA from 1 species